rnacentral:tRNA from 1 species
ACGGAAGUGGCGAAAUAGGUAUACGCAUUAGAUUUAGGUUCUAAUAGAAUUAUUUUUCUAUGAGAGUUCAAAUCUCUCCUUCCGUA